rnacentral:rRNA from 1 species
CCUACGGGGGGCUGCAGUGGGGAAUAUUGCACAAUGGAGGAAACUCUGAUGCAGCGACGCCGCGUGAGCGAUGAAGGUCUUCGGAUCGUAAAGCUCUGUCCUAAGGGAAGAUAGUGACGGUACCUUAGGAGGAAGCCCCGGCUAACUACGUGCCAGCAGCCGCGGUAACACGUAGGGGGCGAGCGUUGUCCGGAAUUACUGGGUGUAAAGGGUGCGUAGGCGGCCUUGCAAGUCAGAUGUGAAAGGUCACAGCUUAACUGUGGUAAGCAUUUGAAACUGUAAGGCUUGAGUGCAGGAGAGGAGAGUGGAAUUCCUAGUGUAGCGGUGAAAUGCGUAGAUAUUAGGAAGAAUAUCAGUGGCGAAGGCGGCUCUCUGGACUGCAACUGACGCUGAGGCACGAAAGCGUGGGGAGCAAACAGGAUUAGAUACCCGUGUAGUC